rnacentral:misc_RNA from 1 species
GAUGAAGAACGUAGCGAAAUGCGAUAAGUAAUGUGAAUUGCAGAAUUCAGUGAAUCAUCGAAUCUUUGAACGCAUCUUGCGCUCCUUGGUAUUCUGAGGAGCAUGCCUGUUUGAGUGUCAUUAAAUUCUCGACUACACUGACUUUGAAUUGGUGUGGCUUGGAUUUGGGGGGAAAAUUGUUGUGGGCUUUUUGUAUAGUCUGCUCCCCUGAAAUUGAUUAGCGGUACCUUUGUGGAACUGUCUACAGGUGUGAUAAUUAUCUACAUCUUAGACAUCUGCUGGAAUGCUGCUCUCUAAACCUUACUUGUAUUGACAAUCUUGACCUCAAAUCAGGUAGGACUACCCGCUGAACUUAAGCAUAUCAAUAAGCGGAGGA